GAUUAGAGACUAUCAGUGCAUAAUCUAAGUUUCAGAUCUGAGCACUUAUUGAUGAAGGAGAGAUAAUGGCGAAGCCCCUAAGGACUUCAUUAGUGAUCAUGUGGUUUCUGCUAAAAUGGGUGAGCUGCCAACAGAGAGUGGAUCAGAAUCCUCUGUUUCUUACUAUCCAGGAGGGAGAGAAUAUCAGCAUUAACUGCACUUAUUCAGACCAAGGUUCUCAAAGCCUCCAAUGGUUCAGGCAGGAUCCUGGGAAAGGCCUCGCUUCCCUAUUUUACAUAACUACAGAGGAGAAGCAGAAUGGAAGGUUAAGAUCCACGAUCAGCAGUAAGCAGCGUCAUAGCUCCCUGCACAUCACUGAUGCCCAGCCUGAAGACUCAGCCAUCUACCUCUGUGCUGUGGGGGCACAGUGAUCCCCAGGCACCUGCAGGCUGUGCACAAACCCCA